UGGCGGCAGGCCUAACACAUGCAAGUCGAGCGGAAACGAUCCUAGCUUGCUAGGAGGCGUCGAGCGGCGGACGGGUGAGUAAUGCAUAGGAAUCUGCCCGAUAGUGGGGGAUAACCUGGGGAAACCCAGGCUAAUACCGCAUACGUCCUACGGGAGAAAGCAGGGGAUCUUCGGACCUUGCGCUAUCGGAUGAGCCUAUGUCGGAUUAGCUUGUUGGUGAGGUAAUGGCUCACCAAGGCGACGAUCCGUAGCUGGUCUGAGAGGAUGAUCAGCCACAUCGGGACUGAGACACGGCCCGAACUCCUACGGGAGGCAGCAGUGGGGAAUAUUGGACAAUGGGCGAAAGCCUGAUCCAGCCAUGCCGCGUGUGUGAAGAAGGCUUUCGGGUUGUAAAGCACUUUCAGUGAGGAAGAACGCCUUCGGCUUAAUACGCCGGAGGAAAGACAUCACUCACAGAAGAAGCACCGGCUAACUCCGUGCCAGCAGCCGCGG
rnacentral:rRNA from 1 species